rnacentral:rRNA from 1 species
AUGCAUCUUAAUAUUAGAGACAACAAAGACCAGCAAGCUCGUCGUGAUCAUCGCCACGGUGGUAACAUAAUUUUCAUUGCCUCUGCUAUCGCUUGGCCUUGUGAUCUGGAUAAAGAUCCGGCAACGCAAGACGCCAUCGACGGAUUCUGCCCCAAAAAUGAAAUAGGGCGCGGCGGCUUUGGCAUUGUUUACAAGGGUCAAAUGGAAGAUGGCCAGGAAGUCGCAGUGAAGAAGCUAUCAGCAGGAAACAGUGUGCAAGGUCUGAAGGAGUUCAAGAAUGAGGUGGACCUGAUCGCCAAGCUGCAACACCGUAACCUCGUACGCCUGCUCGGUUGCUGCAUCCACUGCUGCUCCGAGAGGAUACUGGUCUAUGAGUACAUGAGCAACAAGAGCUUGGACACUUUCAUUUUUGGGCUUCUCUACCUUCACCAGGACUCGAGGCACACGAUGAUCCACCGAGAUCUCAAGGCGGCUAACGUUCUCCUCGAUAGGGAGAUGGUGGCCAAGAUAUCGGAUUUUGGAAUCGCCAAGUUGUUCAGCAGCAUCGGCGACCAUCAGGUCACAGAAAGGAUUGUUGUGACAUACGGUUACAUGUCACCAGAGUACGCCAUGGACGGAAUGGUUUCGUUCAUGCAAGAUGUGUACAGCUUCGGUGUGCUGUUGCUAGAGAUCAUCAAUGGGAGGAGGAACCAACGAAGUUCCAACCUCAUAGCUCACGCAUGGAUGCUAUUCGAGGAAAACAAGAGCCUCGAGCUCCUUGACCCAGUCGUGCGUGAUGGCUGCAGCCUAGCGGAGCUAGAGCAGGCGGCGACGUGCAUCCAAGUAGGUCUACUGUGCGUUCAGGAGAGCCCGAGCCAACGACCGCAAAUGGCUGCCAUAAUACCCAUGAUGUCGCACCAAAAGGCAUUGGAACGGCCACUUCGACCGGUGGUCUGCAUGCCCGUGAGCACUCUUGCGGACCUUCUCAACGUGCAGGAGGAAACAUCCGGCAACGUCGAGCUGACCAUCACAAACCUUGAAGGACGAUAG